UGGGAUCUCCAGCUCCUCCUCCACCAGAAAUCCAGGGAAGCGCUCUGAGUUGAGCAUCCAAAGAGCUGGCAUGGAUGGGAACCAAUGCAACAAACUCCCUUCCUUCCUCAGCAUCAUCAUCUGAUAGCCCUGACAGUGAGUCAGUGCGUCUGUACCGCGCUCUUUCACAAAUUAAUAGACUGCCAGUUGUGAUAGGACCCAAAAAUGUCACAGGGUUCGUGCAUCUCUGUGGCAUCGUAUCGUCCGUCUGCUGCUUCACACUCUGCAGGCGCCUUGUGAACCACUCUGGCACUGAGUUUCGAUAUCAGGAGCUGAAUCCUGCCCAAAGCCUCAGGACGUGUCAGGAUAAAGCGAUUUAGCACAAAGGGGAAAGCAAGCGGCUGCUGUUCCUGUUAGGUGGCUGCUUCUCCAGCCUGCCGCGGGUCUCUAUUGCUGAGGGUAACCAGUCCUUAGUCAUUGUGAAACCGCCUGCGUGCAGAGGAGACACAGGCAGAACCCGCUCGGCUCCUCGGCGGGCGGUGGGACGCACCGGGGGCUCGGCUGGCGGCGGAUCCCGGCACACCGUAUGGGAAAGGAGCUUCGCUGAAAACAGGCGCCUUUCUGAGAACCCGCCCCUUCUCUCCCGAGUGUCUCCGCAGCCCCACGUGAGCCCCGUUCACCCGCUGCAGGUGCAAGCGGGGGAAUUGCUUGGCUUUGCUUCUGCUGUAGCCCCCUUUUAUCAGACAGUUUUGUUCACUCUUUGUUCCGCUCUUAACAACUUCUGUGGCGGCAGCAGCAGAAACGGUGCAAUGCCUCCGCUGUGUUUGAGCAUCGCUGCUGAAUCCCUUCAUCCCGCCAGGACGCUCGUCUCCGCCGGCCGUUGCUUAAGGUCCAUCGUAUCACUAAAAGCCUGGUUCCUGCUCCUCGUGGCACCCUGGGAGGCUGAAGGAUCCCAGAGAAGGUGCUCAUCUUCCUUGUGCCAAGAUGCAUUUUUUUUUUUUUUUUUCCUGUUACAAGAAAGAGGCCAGUGGGGUUUUUGUUCAUCUCACCCGGCCCAUGAGAAGAGAUGUCUGUGUCUGCCCGGCUGUGUUCAGGAAACGCUGCCACCGGUUCAACUGGGAUUAGCUCAUCUGCCCUCCCUGCGCUGGCUAACGGGACGUGACUAAGAAGUUGAGUUGCUUUCUUGACAGCGAGUACAUACUGUCCAAGACCAGGGUGCUUAUGGCUUUCAGGAAAGUUUCUAAAGAGGAAAAAGUAAAAGCGGAAGAAAUGGCUCCUUCAGGCAGCAGAUGCUCUCACGUGUUGCCGCUCUUGGCAUGUUCCUUAUUUGAAGUGAAACUUGCUUAUGUACUGGGGAGCAGCUGAUGCUCGGGCAUUUUUAGAGUUCUCAGGGGUUUUGUCCACGUGCUUGUGCACAAGUUGCAGCAAUUAAACUAAAGCACUUGUGAAACCAUUAACUUUUUACCUGUGCAAACCCUGUGUGCGCUCUCUUUUCUCCGGCAGGGUAUCAUUUCUUCCUGCAAGGCAGGAUUCUCUCUGAUGGAGGGGAGAAAAAAGGAAAAAAAAAAAAAGUGGAAGAAGUGAGCGACUGCCUGCACUGCAGCACUUUGCACAAGCCAUGCCGCUGGCAGCGGGGACGAUCGCCAAUGCGCCUGCUCCGGCACUCGCUGGCAGUGAUUCAUCUGCUGUGGCUCAGCUGGUUUCACCAUGAAAACCCGUGGUGGCGUGGUUAGGCAAGCCUGGACUUCGCCGGCCGCAGUGGGUUGUCCCCAUCCGCUGGUCUUGUGCCGCAGAACCCAUUCGGGGCUCGCUGCCCCGCACCGGGCUGUCGGAAACAUGCGCCUUCAACCACGGCUAGAGCUUCUGUUGAGUGAGCAUCGACCAGACUGUCUAGAGAGGAAAAUGAAAAUCAGGUGGUGGCUCUUGGCGUUGCUGUCUGAAGGCAGCAGUACCAGUGGUGCUGACAGACAGGGCGUGCUGGGAGGCAGAAAUGGGAUUUUUAUGUAACAUUGGCUUUGUUAUAGUGAGCUGGAUCAGCCACGCCGUUCUCGGCAGGUUUGUUUCUGGCCCGAUGGUGAUGUUCUGCUCUUCAAGAGCAGCGCAACCGCCCCUCGGGAAUUGAAAGUCUGAUAAUUCUCCUUCUCUGUAUUUAGACCAAAUCUCCAAUUCUUUUCCUCUAGGGUUUAAUAUUUAAAAUUUUUUUUUUUUUAAACCCAAAAAGUAGCUUAACCACUCGCAGACGGAAAUCUUUGUGGCACUAGCACCACCUGGUCAAGAUGUAGCUCAGCCUUGUUUAGGCAGGCAGCAGCGGCCGAGGCUGGGCGAGAGUCUCAGGUUCCCAGGCACCAGGGCUGCUGAUCAGGCAGUGGGCUGAGCUCUCAGGAAGAAGAUACCCAGCAAGGAAACCAUUUGCUUCUGUGGGAUAAAGAAACAGAAAACCACCACCUCUGAUCUAUGUGACAGUCUUGUGCUGUUACUGUAACACCCAGACUGACACUGAGAUUGACAGGAACUACAUCAGCACUAAGUGAUGGAGGAUAACGCACCGUGCUGGGGCACGCAGCCUCCCGUUGCAGCAGUUUUUCAGGGUUGCAGGAGAAGCAGAAGGUUGCACACAGAAGAGGUGUGCAGGGGAGCACUGUCCUGUUUUGCAGAGGGGAUGCUGUGCCUGGGAUCUCAUCCUGUGGUUUGCCCGGCCCUGGUGGGAUCCAGCCCUGGUGGGAUCCAGCCCAGCAGAGGCAGGGCUUAGCCCCAGCCCAGCACUCCAGCUCUGAGCUCAUCUUGCCUGCCGCUGCUUCGAUCAGCUUUGACGACGUGCACAGAACUUAUGCUGCGAUGGCAUCGCGCUGCUGUAAUAAAAGACUGGGUUUUGUUGGUUCCCUCCCCCCUCCCCAAACGCUGAUGGUUGUGGCAUGUAUUAGUUAAUAUUGGGACACGAGGGGGUCUGCAGAGCUGCAGCCCACACCUGACACGCGCAGCAGCAGGUCAGGCGAGAUGCCACGAGCAGGGAACUGGGUGAUACUGGUGCUGUGAUUCUGGUUUGAGGUAGGUGACGUGAGUCACAUGGAUGACUUGUCAUGGUGCCUUGGGUGUCUCGACUCUCCAGGCUGCCCUUUGGGGUUGUUUUUUUUUUUUUUCCUCCUUUUUGCAACUUUUUUUUAAGCAGUGCGUCCUGGCAGAGAGAAACUGUGGUGGACAGGGCUGGCCUGACAACGGGAAAAAAGCUGCUGGAGGAUAUGGCCAGAAAUGAAUCAUGGCGAUUGCUCCUCUGCUGGAAAUGUCAUUUCUCCAUAGUAGGUGCUGCCUUUGGUUGCCCAGACGGCUUCUGCUGGGGUUUCCAGAACACCCUUCCCAAAACUUCUUGGAGAUGAUACACAUGUUUAGUCAGAGGUGUUAGCGGGUUUUGCUCACCAGAUCUGCGUCAUGACGCAAACUGCAAAGAUGCCCGCGUUUUGGUGAGAAAUGGCUCAGACUUCUUUGCACGUGGCUUGCAUGGCGAUCUAGCGCUGGGUGUCCCCUGGCUCUACGUCCCUCCAGCAAACCCGUGCCCCUGGCUGGGAGCCCUGCAGCACCUCCCCGCAGCCCCUCCAGCUUCCCAACCCACCUUUGGAGGAGCGGAGCUGCAUCUCCCUGCCGUGCCAGCUCCUCUCCAGCGCUGAUGCCCCUGCGAGCAGGCAGCCAUCCCAUCCAGAUUGCUCACUUGCUCUUCCUCCAUUUUCUUCUGAAUCUCCUGUAGCAUCAGGUAACUGGAAACCUUCAUUCUCCGUACAGCAAGAGGCAUCCCGUCUGCUUCCUUCCUGUGGUUACUUUAACCAGAGUGACUGAGCUUUACUGAAAAACUCACCACAGCUGAGCUGACACUGCCCUUUUCUCCACGCAGGGCAGAGCCCAGGCACCAGUUUCACUCACGAGGGUCCUUGGGCUCCUGCCUUGAGCUGGUGAUACGGGCUCUGAGAGCUGUUUCCUACCUCUCUGUGGGAGAAUUGUUAUAUAAAAGGGAUGAAAAUACACGUAGAGAGGGCGGGGAGCAUGCAGACCAGAUCUGCCUGGGGCGAAGCUUUAAGCAGUGUUCCCUGAGCAGGUUUUACUGCGAACACAAAUCAUCUCGUGGGCAAAUUCACCAAUUCCACUGACCAACGCCAGACUGAAGCCUGGGCAGAAAUAAGACUUAGAAAUUGUUGUAUUAACUGAAAUUAUUUUUGUUUCUAAUGCAGUGAGGAAUGAAACCCCAGCUGCCAAUACACACCUGGAGUCUGCUGGACUCGCAAGCGAAGGGCUCAGAGUGGUGAAAACGAAAGAGGCUCGAAAGUGAAACAGAAACGUGGCCAGGCAGAUGAACAUGCAAAAGUUCACACAGUGACCGAAGCCGUGGCCAAGGCACGGUGCCCCGCCAGUGCUGCUGCCGGGAACGGAGCCGCCGAUGUUCUUGGCUCUCUCCAGGACCGUCCUCCCUUCUCACUGAAGUCAAGGCGUUUGGUGGAAAAACGAGUACAGAAAUUGGCUCAACAGGAACUCAAUGUGUCUUGUCUAAAGUGAUCUCUGAAAAAACAGCAGGAUUUUGUGCGAAAGACGCAGACCCCUGGGCAUUUUCAUUUCCAUCUCUUCAUCAGCAAGUACUCUUCGAUGUAGUUGAUGAAAAUGUCAAACUCU